UACGUAGGGGGCAAGCGUUGUCCGGAAUCAUUGGGCGUAAAGAGCGCGUAGGCGGUCCGAUAAGUCGGUUGUGAAAACUGGGGGCUCAACCCUCAGAGGCCGACCGAUACUGUCGGGCUAGAGUCCGGAAGAGGCGAGUGGAAUUCCUGGUGUAGCGGUGAAAUGCGCAGAUAUCAGGAGGAACACCAAUGGCGAAGGCAGCUCGCUGGGACGGUACUGACGCUGAGGCGCGGAAAGCCAGGGGAGCAAACGGG
rnacentral:rRNA from 1 species